CUCUCCUGCAUUCUCCUCUCUCAAACCGCUUCUCAUCUCACUUGGGUGAUCUCCAUCUCUGUCUCGUGGCUUUACUCACCGGUGAAGGUUUCUCAAAAAGAUCAAAAUCACUUUGAUAUAGUGGAACUGGAAGGUAUUACCAGCGCCCAAGUCUGAGCUCCUUCGACCUUAGGCUCUUGAUUUCUCUGCUUUUAGGUAAGGGAUAAGUGAUAUGAGCAUUUGGUAAGUCAUGAGGUUAUUUUAAAAAGAUUAUUAUGCACUAAAAGGUUUUGAAUAUAGAUAUUGCAUACAAUCAUGUUUUAGACAAAGAUAUGUUUGUUAUGCUUACAAAAUCUAAAGUAUAUAAAAUAAUAUGCAUGAAAUUAAAAGAUGUUCUCCUAUUUGAAUAUCCAUAAAAUGAAAUAUGUUUGUUAUGCUUACAAAAUCUAAAGUAUAUAAAAUAAUAUGCAUGAAAUUAAAAGAUGUUCUCCUAUCUGAAUAUCCAUAAAAUGAAAUGUUUUGGUUUACAUGCAUUCUUAUUAAAUUCUCAUCUAACUUACCCUUAUUGAGCUAUUUAGCUCACCCCUUCUACUUUUUCAGUCAACAAGUUUUAUUCUGGAGCAGAGGGAGCCUUAGUCGAGUUUUGGGAGGAACUGGUUUUAGCUUUAAAAGUAUAGCCCCUGUUUUGGAAGUUUGAUGCUUAGCUUUGUAGUAUUGUGUAUUUUAGGAUCUAAUGGAAGUUGUGUACUUUAAUAUAUUAAGAGAUGUAUUAUGUGAAAUUCUGAAAUUGAAUGACUGGUGGAUUAAGUUA